rnacentral:lncRNA from 1 species
UUAAGAGGCUGCAUUUUUAUCACAAAGUCAAGCACCGCUGGGAAGGACUGUUCGUUUGGCAAUGAGGAACUGAAGGUUAAGUGCUUGGAACAAAUGCAUGGCUUCUUUCCAAGGCAGGCUGGGGAAACAGGCCCCGUCAAUGUAGUGCUGUUCUAAUGUGUGCCCAAAACUACGUGAUGGCUGCUGGGAGAAUGUUGAGAGCUUUGCUAUGGGAGUUAGGAACAUUCCAGUUCCUAUCCCAGGAUGCAUUUGCUCCCGAGGUCUCCUUAGCAACGUCAAGGGGAGAUUUCAGACGUUUGGUCAGUGUUCUAAGAGAGAUGUAAUGAGGAAGAUAAACAGUUCCUAUUGAUAGACAUAAUCAAUUCUAGUUCCCAAGCCUGCACCCCAUAUGGAGUAGUGAGACAGUGUUUGACUCACGAAGACUAUUUUGGUUGGAGUUCUACGUAUACUCUAGGGCCAGGAUGAAGUUAGGGAGCUGGGAAAGCAUUCAUGGCAAAGGACCAAGGUCACUCUAGGACAGUCAUGGAGGUUAUGACUCAAGAUGGCUGCAAUCACGUUCAGCUGAAUCUACAUACUAAGGAAGAAAAAGGCUUUUUCUUCUGGUAUUUUAUUAUGGCAACAAGGAACAUAACCAGCACAGCAUUCAUCCAGCACUGUGCUCUAGAGCAGACAUACAGAAAGACCGUUUAUAGGCAGCCAUGACGGUUUAUCUUCAUUGUCGACAUGACUGGAUUUAGAGUCACCUAGGAGAUUGGUGAAGCAUACUCCUGAAUGUGCCCCGGAGGGUGUUUCCAGAGAGAGUUAACUGAGGCGGGAAGACCCACCCUGAAUGUGGGCAGUUCUAUCCCUGGGGCUGGUGCCUGGACUGAAUGAAAGAAGAAAUGGAGGCAGCCAGCAGAGCUGGAUUUCUGUCUCUUCUUCCUACCUAGUGACUUGAUGUGAUGCUCUGUGCGAUGAGAACAUCACAGCACAAUGAACUCAGUAUAGCUGUGAGAAAUAAACCCUCCUUUAAGCUGUCCCCGUUGGCGGCAUUUGAUCACAGUGAAGUAAGGACUAAAUAAAGGUCAU